AGCGCCGCAUAAGCGGGCCGACGGUCGACUCCUUCGGCGCCAGGGGCCUUUAGCCCGGGCUCCGGAAAGCUGCGG
rfam:Mycobacterium sp. 1245111.1 contig_129, whole genome shotgun sequence.